rnacentral:rRNA from 1 species
GCUUAGAAGCAGCCAUCCUUUAAAGAUAGCGUAACAGCUCACUGGUCUAAAUAAGUUGUCCUGCGGCGAAGAUGUAACGGGGCUCAAGCCAUGAGCCGAAACUUCGGACGCAGUAAUGCGUGGUAGCGGAGCGUAGUGUGAUAUAGCACCACGCCUCUUUAGCAAUUCUUCUGAAUUGCCUUGGAGGCUUAGGUGCUUUCUGUGAAGCCGGGCUGUAAGGCAUCCGGUGGAGAGAUCACUAGUGAGAAUGAUGACAUGAGUAGCGACAAAGAGUGUGAGAGACACUCUCGCCGAAAGUCCAAGGGUUCCUGCUUAAAGCUAAUCUGAGCAGGGUAAGCCGGCCCCUAAGUCGAGGCAGAAAUGCGUAGACGAUGGGAACUAGGUUAAUAUUCCUAGGCCAGGAGGAUGUGACGGAUCAUGAAGGUUGUUCACCCUUAUUGGAUUGGGUGGGCCGCUAAUUGGUUCCUGGAAAUAGCCCUCCAUCAGACCGUACCCUAAACCGACACAGGUGGACUGGUAGAGAAUACCAAGGCGCUUGAGAGAACGAUGUUGAAGGAACUCGGCAAAAUACCUCCGUAAGUUCGCGAGAAGGAGGCCCAGUUUCUACGCAAGUAUUGGCUGGGGGCACAAACCAGGGGGUGGCGACUGUUUACUAAAAACACAGGGCUCUGCGAAGUCGCAAGACGACGUAUAGGGUCUGACGCCUGCCCGGUGCCUGAAGGUUAAAAGGAGGGGUGAGAGCUCUGAAUUGAAGCCCAGGUAAACGGCGGCCGUAACUAUAACGGUCCUAAGGUAGCGAAAUUCCUUGUCGGGUAAGUUCCGACCUGCACGAAUGGCGUAACGACUUCCCCGCUGUCUCCAACAUAGACUCAGCGAAAUUGAAUUGCCUGUCAAGAUGCAGGCUUCCCGCGGUUAGACGGAAAGACCCCGUGCACCUUUACUACAGCUUCGCACUGGCAUCAGGCACAACAUGUGCAGGAUAGGUGGUGGGCUUUGAAGCAGAAACGCCAGUUUCUGUGGAGCCUCCCUUGAGAUACCACCCUUGUUCUGCUUGAUGUCUAACCGCGGUCCGUUAUCCGGAUCCGGGACCCUGCGUGGCGGGUAGUUUGACUGGGGCGGUCGCCUCCCAAAGAGUAACGGAGGCGCGCGAAGGUUGGCUCAGAGCGGUCGGAAAUCGCUCGUUGAGUGCAAUGGCAGAAGCCAGCCUGACUGCGAGACUGACAAGUCGAGCAGAGACGAAAGUCGGCCAUAGUGAUCCGGUGGUCCCGAGUGGAAGGGCCAUCGCUCAACGGAUAAAAGGUACGCCGGGGAUAACAGGCUGAUACUGCCCAAGAGUCCAUAUCGACGGCAGUGUUUGGCACCUCGAUGUCGGCUCAUCUCAUCCUGGGGCUGGAGCAGGUCCCAAGGGUAUGGCUGUUCGCCAUUUAAAGAGGUACGUGAGCUGGGUUUAGAACGUCGUGAGACAGUUCGGUCCCUAUCUGCCGUGGGUGUAGGAUACUUGAGAGGAGUUGCCCCUAGUACGAGAGGACCGGGGUGAACGAUCCACUGGUGGACCUGUUGUUGCGCCAGCAGCAGUGCAGGGUAGCUAUGAUCGGACAGGAUAACCGCUGAAGGCAUCUAAGCGGGAAGCCCCCCUCAAAACAAGGUAUCCCUGAG